GUGCUCACUUCAGCAGCACAUAUAGUAAAAUUAAAAUGAUACAGAGUUUAGCAUGGCUCCUGUGCAAGGAUGACAUGCAAAUUCGUGGUGUUCUGUAUCUUUUG
rnacentral:snRNA from 1 species